rnacentral:rRNA from 1 species
AACGCUGGCGGCGUGCCUAACACAUGCAAGUCGAACGGGGUGAUUUCCUUCGGGAGAUCACUUAGUGGCGAACGGGUGAGUAACGCGUGAGAAACCUGCCUUUCAGUGGGGGACAACAGUUGGAAACGACUGCUAAUACCGCAUAACAUAUACCGGGGGCAUCCCUGGUAUAUCAAAGCUUUAUGUGCUGAAAGAUGGCCUCGCGUCUGAUUAGAUAGUUGGUGGGGUAACGGCCUACCAAGUCGACGAUCAGUAGCCGGUCUGAGAGGAUGAACGGCCACAUUGGGACUGAGACACGGCCCAGACUCCUACGGGAGGCAGCAGUGGGGAAUAUUGCACAAUGGGGGAAACCCUGAUGCAGCGACGCCGCGUGAAGGACGAAGGUCUUCGGAUCGUAAACUUUUGUCUUCAGGGACGAUAAUGACGGUACCUGAGGAGGAAGCCACGGCUAACUACGUG